GUCUAGGACCUCUGGGUGGUCGCGCUGUUUCCCGGCCAACGCACCAAAUGAAAGAUUCUCGAAUUCCCGGCCAAUGCACCAAAUGAAAGAUUCCCGAGGGGAGAUCCCCUACUCAGACACUUAAGUCCCGGGACAGCCGCGUACCCAAGAAGACACUGAGACCA
rnacentral:pre_miRNA from 7 species